ACCAAUGUAGUCUAGUGGUUUGAGCACUGGGCUAUGAUUCUAGAGACCAGGGUUCAAAUCCCCUCUUGGCCA